rnacentral:rRNA from 1 species
UACGUAGGCAGCAAGCGUUGUUCGGAGUUACUGGGCGUAAAGGGUGCGUAGGCGGCUUUUUAAGUUUGGUGUGAAAUCUCCCGGCUCAACUGGGAGGGUGCGCCGAAUACUGAGAGGCUAGAGUGUGGGAGAGGAAAGUGGAAUUCCUGGUGUAGCGGUGAAAUGCGUAGAUAUCAGGAGGAACACCGGUGGUGUAAACGGCUGUCUGGACCAUAACUGACGCUGAGGCACGAAAGCGUGGGUAGCAAACAGG